GGCGGGGUGGAAUGUUAGUCGCGGGGCCUAUCUUGGGGUAGGAUCAGAAGGGAACUGAACCCGGCACAUGAUAUAAACGGUUCAGUAUGCAGCCAUCGUUGGUAAGAAGUUGUAACUUCACUGGUUCGGGACGCACCUCUUCGAAUCAUUUCCAAAAGAGGGGGCAAGUUUUCCAUUCUCCGCCCCAAUUCCCCAUCUUCAUUUUAAUUGGUUGGCUUUAGAAUGGGCUGGGCCCAACGUUGCUCGUUGAUUGGCUAUGUAGGCAAUCUAUCAGAGUGUCGCAAGAGGGGCGUGGCCAUUUGGGGAGGAAGUGAAGAUUAUUUUCGUACCUCCUACCCUAACUGCUGAUUGGUUAAGAUUUGCGAUGAUGUAAAACUAGGAAUGAAAAUGUCCACUCACGGGAAUACCCUAUUGGCCGUCCUCUCAGGAUCGAAGUCUAGGGUGGGACUGGAAAGAAUCAGCCGAACUCUGUUAUUGUAGGGAAGGACCAAAUUGAUUGAAACCCGGAAAUGAGUUUAGAAGGAAAAUGAGGGAAAUCCAAGGCACCUUCUUUGCCCUCAAAGCAGGUCAUUUCCUGUAUGGGAUCGAUAGUUUCCUGUUUACUCCUCCGAAGUCAGAGAUACACAUUUUUCUUACACUCUUCCUCCAUGAGAUUCUGCCUCACUUUGGACCCAGAGCAAUGGAGUUGGCCAUCUAUGGACAGAGAUUUCUGAAACCGAAUGUACUGCAACAGAUCCCCAAUUCCUCCACCCUCUGAAAGCGUCUCACAGAAAAUUCCUUCAGUCAAAGAAGUUUCUAAUUCCAGAAAACUUUUUGGUCUUGUUCUCAGACUGGCAGAUUUCACCAGGAAAAAUACAUCACCAUAUCCAGUUUCUGGACUAACAAGUCAAUUCCAGCCAUCAUGGCCCAAGUGGGGCUCAGAAAGCUUCAGACCUCCAAGAAGAUUCUUUUACUAUGCCCUAGAUUUUUACUCUCUCCUCAUUAUUUUUCUUACUGAAGCUACAGCCAGAUUUCUUUCCUUUCUUUCUCCACAAAAUGUCUUUAAAAUACUCCUCACUUAUUAUGUUUGUAUUUCAUCUCUACUCCUUUUUGCCUCUCCCUACAUUUACUUCUGUAGCCUAUUAUGUUUGGUUUGUUCUGUUUUGGGUUCCUGGGAUUGAACCCAGUAGUGCUAAAUCACUGAGUCACACACUUUUAAAAAAAAAAGAAAAAAUUGAAACAGGAUCUCGCUAAGUUGCUUAGGACAUCACUAAUUUGCUGAGGCUGGUCUUGAACUUGUGAUCCACCUGCCUCAGUCUCCCCAGUUGCUGGAAUUACAGGCAUGCACCACCAGGCCUGGCCUAUAUGUUCAUUUUAAAGGCCACCACACAUGAGGCAGAAUCUCAUGGAGGAAGAUUAGUGGUGCAUACCUCUAAUCCCAGGAGCUCAGGAGGCUGUGGCAGGAUGAUCGCUAGUUCAAAGUCAGCCUCAGCAACUUAUUGAGGCACUUAGUAACUCAGGGAGACCCUGUCUCUAAAUAAAAUAUAAAAACGGGCUAGGGAUGUGGGCUUAGUGGUUGAGUACCUCUGCGUUCACUCCUCAAUACAAAAAAAUAAAAUUAAAGGCCAUCAACAUUCUCCCAAUGGGUCCUUCUCCACAUGUCCUGUUCAAUCAACAGUGUUGAUCCUGCUUGCCUUUGAAAACCCCUUUUCUUUCUUGACAUCAGAGAGCUUUUCUAUCCCAAUUUCUAUUCUCACUUUUACCAGUCUUUUAUAAUUUCACUCACUAGUUCUUCUUCCUCCAACCUUCCCUGAAUGAGGUAUUCUUUAGAAUUAUAUCUUCUACCUCUAUUUAUUCUAAAAGUGCUCAUUUCUAAUCUCACACAUUAAUAAACAACUUCCAAAUAAACAA